UACCUGGACAGACGUUGGGGAGCCUCCUUCUAGUGCACCUCGGUCUAUUUCCUGCUCAUCCCUACUCACCACGCCUGUCCUCCUUCCCCAUGCCUCCUGCCCCCAGCUGCAGUCUCAGUAUCCACUGAAGUUUAGCAGGUGCUGAGGGGGUUAAUAGGACAGCAUGCACCAAACCAACCCGCAGGCACGUGGCUCCGCAGGCCAGCAAGGAGCCAGUACUGGCCACCUCACCCGCCCGCUGCCCACCUCGCAUCAGAGCUGGAGUAAACUGUUCCUGAACCUCCUGACCCAUCUCCACUUCCUAAGGGCUCUGGGCACAGGCAGGUAGGGAGCCACUGCCUCCAUCCCUCCCUUCCCCUUUCUCUGUUUUCUGCCAGGUUCUUUCCAAACACCCUUUCAGGCAAAGGGAGGAUGGGGGUAGGGAGCCCCAGACAGAUGAGCUCAUUGGGAGAAGGAGGGCAGAGGAAGGAGGGAGCUGAAACAUCCUUCCCAGGGAGAAGCUCACCGGACAGUCCCAAGCUGGAGAGGGGCGUGUGCCCUCUUCUAGGAGCAAGCGUCUGCUUCCCUCACUGCAGCUCAGAGAUGGGAUCCUUUCAGGCUGGAUAUGCACCCACCCAUCACCGCAGCCCUUCCCAAGAGCGGCAGCAUGACCCAGAUUCUGGAAUCUCUUCCUUCUCCUACUCCAGCCCUGGAAGCAGUGGCUGCAGAGGUGGAAAUAGAGGCACCAAAAAAAAAAAAAAAAUUUCAUCUUGGUCCCCACGGUGCUGACUUUGCAGUUCCCCACUGUGUUAUGGCUUUGUGUGCAUCCCCAGCACCUGGCACCGUGCCUGGCACACAGGAGAUGCUCAAUAAAUGGAUGUUGGAUUGAAGUGAAUUAAACUGAAUCACCCAGA